GCAAGUCGAACGAGAAACCUAAUUAGCUUGCUUUGAGGGUUUUUAGUGGCGGACGGGUGAGUAACACGUGAGCACCUGCCCCGAAGAGAAGGAUAGCCCGCCGAAAGGUGGAUUAAUACUUCAUGUGACCUACGGGUUAAAGAUGGCUUCGGCUAUCGCUUUGGGAUGGGCUCGCGGCCUAUUAGUUUGUUGGUGAGUUAACGGCUCACCAAGACGAUGACGGGUAGCUGGUCUGAGAGGACGAUC
rnacentral:rRNA from 1 species